CAAUCCCUAAUCUCACCGCCGUGCUCUAUGCCACGCAGCUCGAUGCCGCCAUGCUCUGACCCAUUUCCCUUUCCAUUCCCUCUCCAUCCAACACACUCCUUACUUGGAAAUCACCUUCUCCCCUCCUUCCCUCACUUCCACUCUCUCCGAUUUUCUUUCCACCCAAAUCUCUAAAUCCCCUUCCUCCCAUCCGAAUUUGGGUGACAUUCCGUACAUCAAAUGCUAGGUCUGUGAAAAGCUCGCAGCACAGUUUUACCACUAGGUUCAAAAGAAGCAAGCUGAGAUCGAUCCCAAGAAGAGUAUCAAAUAAUUGAGAUAACGGUGAAUGUUUGUAAUUUGAAGAAAGCUGAAGCAGAUUGGAUUUUACUGAUAGAUAUAGUGGAACAAGGGAAUAAGUUGAAGGUUAUUCGAGAAUUUGAACCAAAGGAACGUUGUAUGCUUCUUAAAUUUGUGACCAGUUGUUCUUGAGCUCCCUUACUUGGGUUCAAACACUUACUGCCAACCUUUACUAUCCAUAAGGUUGAGUGGUCUGUGGCUGUUGCAUCACUGCCAUCUUCCAUCACCACCAACAAGGUGAGUCAUAUAGAUUUUGUUCUUUGCAUUAUCAAGUAUUGCAAAUCUUUUUAAUGCUAGCCUCAUGCCAUAUGAUGUGCCAAAAUUAUGCAUCAAUUUAUUUUUUUGAUAUCUCUAUA